CAGCAGUUUUGUCCUCCUGACAACAGUAAAGCUUAACAACUUCUUUUAAGAUGAGGCUUUUACAUCUGAUUUUAUUUGUAAUUACUUUGUGUUUUUUCGGUGUUCAUUCUCAAGUAAAUCUGAAGGAAUCUGAUCCUGUAACUGUACUGCCAGGACAGUCACACCAGUUGUCGUGUAAAGCCUCUGGGUUUACAUUCAGUAGCUAUGACAUGCACUGGGUUCGUCAGGCUCCUGGUAAAGGACUGGAAUGGGUGGCAAGAGUAAGCAGUCCUAGUGGUAGUACUCAGUGGUAUGCAACAUCUGUUAAGGGAAGAUUCACCAUCAGCAGAGACAAUUCCAACAACAUGGUGCACUUAAAAAUGGACAGCCUGCAGGCUACAGACACGGCCGUGUAUUACUGUGCUAGAGACACACAGUAA